rnacentral:misc_RNA from 1 species
GAAGAGAGAAAGAGAAAACGAAACCCUAGGAUCGAACAGCUCAACGUCAGCUCAAACUACUACUCCACUUCUCCUGCUGUUUCAUACGGUGGGAGCAGUUCGUGCGGUGAAACGGCGCCGAUGAGGGGGUCGUCUUCACGGAAGGCAUCGUCGGCGAGGUGGGCGAGAUCGAGAUCCGGUGAGAUCGGGAUCAGCCCAUUAGGGCGAGGAUGGGGGCCGGGAUUUG